rnacentral:rRNA from 1 species
GAUGAACGCUAGCGGCAGGCCUAACACAUGCAAGUCGAGGGGUAACUAGAGUGAUAGCAAUAUUACUUUGGCUAGACCGGCGCACGGGUGCGUAACACGUAUGCAACCUACCUCAUACUGGGGAAUAACUUCGAGAAAUCGGCGCUAAUACCCCAUAACAUUGCGAAGAGGCAUCUCUUUGCAAUUAAAGCUCCGGCGGUAUAAGAUGGGCAUGCGUCCAAUUAGCUAGUUGGUGAGGUAACGGCUCACCAAGGCUACGAUUGGUAGGGGUUCUGAGAGGAUGAUCCCCCACACUGGUACUGAGACACGGACCAGACUCCUACGGGAGGCAGCAGUGAGGAAUAUUGCGCAAUGGACGAAAGUCUGACGCAGCCAUGCCGCGUGCAGGAUGACGGCCCUAUGGGUUGUAAACUGCUUUUGUACGGGAAUAAACCCUUCUACGUGUAGGAGGCUGAAGGUACCGUAAGAAUAAGCACCGGCUAACUCCGUGCCAGCAGCCGCGGUAAGAC